rnacentral:lncRNA from 1 species
AACUCUUUGAAAAAUGUAGCAGGACUAGGGCUUCUUCAAGAACUCCUUUGCUGAAAUCUGAUUUCAGCAACACUAAGAAGAAAGAGAGGCCCUGGGAUGUGGAGAAGAGAGGGAGAGGAAGAGGGGGGGCAACCUAGGAGCAAAGGGAAUCUUGUGGAGCAUGGAAACUCAUAAACCCUUAGGGUUUGGCCACAUAUUUAUAGGCACAAAUACCUAAGGAGGCGCCCCUAGUUUUCUUAGAAAUAAAUCAUCCAAAAGAGUCCCUAACGGCUAGGACUCUAGGGAGAAAAUCCCAGUGUUGCCGCCCCACCUAAAUCAGCCAACAAACUUGCAUGUUUGGCUUGGGUGGCUAGGGUUUCACAAACCCUAGAUGUGGUGCCCCAUUUGCUCCCUCUUGUGGCACCUAGGGUUUCAUUUAAGAAACCCUAGGGUGUGGAUAAUGUUGACUGGUCUAAGAUCAAGUCAAAAUCAAUUAGGCUAGACUAAGGUGUCACACACCUAAUGCGUCCAAACUCAUUUGGUUGCAUGUCACGUAAGUCCAAUUUGAUUUAAGCCUUGAUCCAAAUUUAAUUGAACCCAAAUUCCUAUUUGAUUCAGUUUGAAUUAAUUUGAUCCAAGCAAAUUAAGACAUGCAACAUUUGCACAUUAGUCCUUCCUCAAACUUGCUAACCUUUAACAAUUAAGUCCUUGCUAUUUAUAAUAAUUAUAAAUUAAUCCAAUUAUCAAUCAUAUUGAUAAUUUUGGAUUCUAACCAUUUGAUCAGUUUUAAACUCCUUUUGUGUGUGACCCAAUAAGUUCUAUUCUGUUUGGUAGCGAGUCAUGUUGUGAUCUCUAUUACAACAUCAUUGAAACUCUUUUCAAUAGAUUGAAACGUUUUCAAUUUUUUCCAUCAAAGAAUCAUCUGAUCAUCUAUCUGAUUUUCUAUGGAUCUCAUAAUCCACCAAUGAUACUUAGUAGCAUAUGAUGGCAGGCUAAUAGAAUGGAAUGAAAUGAAUCUCUAGGUAUAGUUAUCGUGUGAUACAGUCCUUCUAUCAGGAUCCCGACAAGAUGGAGAUUAUGAAUGACUCGUCAAACCACAAUAUCUGUCGUAUAUAGAAUUUAUUCGACUUUAGUUCCUGACGUGAAGUAUGUGGAAACUCUUUUCCAUUAUUCAUAUUGCCUUAGCCUUGAUCUUUUGAACUCAGUCUUAUAAAUUACAUAGAAUCAUCUUCCUUCUCUAUCAAGGAUGAUAGAUUCCAUCUAGGUGCACAUCCUAUUCCUACAACGAGCCUACUAUAACCAACAUGCAUUACGAGGACCCAUAUAGUUAGGGAUCAAGUUUAUAUACAGUGAAACUACAGUAGCCUCAUUGCGAACAGUCAAGGUACUUAGGUCUAAGAACUAGUCACACUACUGUAGCAUCGAGUAAGUCAUUGACGAGUGGAUAGCCAUCCAUCUGACUUCUAGUAUCAGUUACACUCGGUACCUUUGUUCUCUAACAAAUAUUUGCACUCUCGCUCCAGUGUCUCCACACUGUAGACUCGAGAUUCGUCUACCCUAAAGAAAAUGACUUAUGCACCGAUUGAUAAUCACCGUCCUCGUAAUUAUCCAUUGAUCGGGAGCAUUUAAGAAUUAAUCAUUAAUGACAUAUGUCUCAAAUUCUAACUUUUAGAAUAUGUGUCAUCUUCUUAUUAAUCCCUAGGACUAUUCAUAGACACAAAAACAUGAAUGAUAAAAUAAUCUAAAUUUUAUUUCAUUAAUAACUCAAAAUAUAUAAAUUAUAUCCUUAGAAAAUUUACAUAUGUUAGCCUAAUUGGCUUCUAGGGCAUACAUCUAACAAGUACAUGCCACAAUAUUAAGAUUUUCGAGCAUUAUCAGAUUCUUAAAUAUGACUGAUACAACUGUACAAAGCAUUCCUCAAAUCCCAAAAAAAGAAAGGUCACGGUUAAGAAUAACUUGUUCAAAGUUUGUACCUAUGGCUAUGAUAGUGUCAAUAAACAUGAUUUUCCUUUAAAAGGGAACAAGUGGUCCCUGCUGUUCCUUGAAUUUGAGGUAAUUAUUGCUAGGUCUACAGAUCAGACAAGUCUGGACUCGGGCAAAAAUGGCCCUAACUCGCCCAAUUGUAUCAUGUUCAGAAUUUUAGACCUUAUCCAACACGUGUUUCGGCUUUCUGACUACAGUAUCGUUCUGUUUCUUGUCAGAAUGGUGCUGGACUGAUGGUACCUUCCUGUUUCGAUGGUUUUUAAAUCAUGGAAAACAUGGUCCUGACUUGUUCUACUUAUGGUUGUAGAUGUGGCUGCUUUUUAAGAUCUUCAAGCUUACAAUAAGUUUUAGAAAUAGCAAUAGACUCCACUGAUGACCGUCCAAAUUACUUAAAAUGCCAUAUGAUAGUAUUUUUAAGCGUGUGAAACUUACAAAGUAUGCUCUUGUUAGAUCCAAAACCUCAGAGAGAUGGAAAAUGGAUUAUAUCAAGGGACAAAUAAGCCUCGUGCGCUGACUUCUAUGUGCCCACCAUUCUAAACAUGUUAGGUCCACAAGAAUUUAGUACAUGCUUGGAUCAUGAUGCAACCUGUUUCAUGCACUAACCUCCUACAUUAUGAUAACAAGGACAAUUGACCGUUGUGUGGUGUGUUUGAGAAAGUUCAAUUUAUCUGCUUUUCAAAUAAUUAUGUACCUACACACAUGCACGAACAGACGCUUGAUUCACUGCAGUGUUAAAGUAGUAUGUCAAAUCACAUGCACAAACACAAUGCAAGUACCCAUGCACGAAUGCUUGAUUCGCUGCAGUAUUCAAAAUAAUAUAUGUAGUUAUAUACAUAGAAUAUCAAAUUGGAAAGAUCUGUUAUAUUUAUAUGGUGUCUUCUUGCUUAGGUAUGCUUGCUGGCUAUGGUUUAUGCUUUUGGAGGCUUGAGCAUUCUUGUCUCUGUUUUGCCAUCACUUAGGGUAUUCAUUGAUUGUUGUGUUAUAAUCCUAAAAUAAAUCAAGUCUCUUAAAAAUUGUUCUAAGCCUUGAAUUAGAUUGUCAGUAAAAAUUCUCUGCUUGCAUAUUUUUGUGAAGUAUGUAAAAUUGUAAAUAGUGAACUUCAUUGUUCUAUAUGUUUUUUCACUUAGAAUUAUUUCAUUUUGUUUCAGGGGCACAUACCGUCGCUAAACUUAUUGGAUGCAAUGUUGGUGAUCUAAAGUUAGCUUUGUCAACUCGUAAAAUGAAAGUUGGCCAUGAUAAUAUUGUCCAAAAACUUACUCUUUCACAGGUUUGUCAGACUUCUUUACUAGAAGGAUUGAUAAUUUAUUUUAAUCUCUGAUUUCUUAAUAUUUUCAUUCUGAUAUUUUGUCACUAGGCAAUUGAUACGAGAGAUGCAUUGGCCAAAUCACUAUAUGCUAGUCUUUUUGAGUGGCUGGUGGAACAGAUCAACCAAUCACUUGCUGUUGGCAAGCGCCGCACAGGCAGAUCUAUCAGUAUUCUUGAUAUUUAUGGCUUUGAAUCUUUUGAUGUAAUUUUCUUCUGACAAUUAGUUGUCCAUUUCGGUUCUGUAGAAUUUAUUCUCAUGAGAAAUGUCUUGUUUUGCAGAAGAAUAGCUUUGAACAGUUUUGUAUUAAUUAUGCAAAUGAAAGGCUGCAACAGCAUUUUAAUCGCCACUUGUUUAAGCUGGAACAGGAAGUAAGUUUCUGCAGUCCUCAAGUGGUUGAAACACUAGGAGGGCACAAAUAUAAAAGAACAAACUUAUGAAAAACUUACCUGUUUUAAAAUGCUGAAUGUGGUGAUGGAGUACAGAUAUAAAACACAGGAAUCAUGAAAAGUUACCAGUUUUAGGAAUGUUGAACCGAGUGAUAUAUGAUCGUAACUCAUCUCUGCUAUGUUUUAUGGUGCUUUUUUGCAGUUGGUGGUUAGUUUUUACAUUCUUUUCUUCCCUUCAGAACACAAAUAUAUUUGAAGAUUUUAAUAUUGUGUUUAUAUAGAUAGUAAAAUCUUUUGCUAUCUCAUUCUAAGUAGCUCUUGUGACAUGUCUUCAUUAUCACAUGGACCCACCUUAGACCUGUAUGUUACCUUUUCCUGUUUAUUUCUACUCCAUUGAAGAUUCUCAAUGAGCUUGAUCAACUUUAUGUUGCAGAAAUAUAGGACCAUUAAAGAACUCAGUCAUAUGCACAAGGCCUUGAUACUGAAAGCUGGUUGAUAUGCUUGAUAUCUAAUAGGAUUAAAUCAUGAGUGUCUUUUGCAAGAAUCCUAUCAUGUCAAUCUGAAAAUGUUGUGAUGUGCAUGUAGUCAUGCUGAAUCAAUACGUUCUGAUGCAACACCUGAUGAACAGGAAUCUUGAUAUGAUUGACUAUAAUCAUCGCACAUUGCCCUGGUUGUUGGGGGUUGGAUUUUUGGAUCCUCAUUUGGUAAGCAUUCUUGUUUGGGGCAAGAAUCCAUGGAUUCGAAAAACCCUGGAUGUCGAUACUGUGUGUGGUAUGUACAGGCCUUUUUGAUACAUACCUGUAUGUGUUGGUGGCACCAUAUCAACUUGUAUCUAUAUGCGCCAAUAGUUUUUCAUUUCUUUGAAACUAGAAUAAGCCCGAGUAAAACCUAAAAAGUCACAAGUCAGAACCUCUAGUGAGACUUAUAUCAGUAAAAAAGCCAAAGCUAAAAGUUUAUGGGUGUAUGUAUGCAUGUAGAGUAGAGAGAGAGAGAGAGAGAGAGAGAGAGAUCAUACACAUGAGAUGCAUGUGAAAAAUUAUGAGAUAUCAGGAUAAAGAAAUUUAUCAAAACUAUGUAAUGUAUUACCAAAAUUAUGAAGUUAAAAUAGCUAAUAUAAUUAAAAGAAAUCAUGUAUCUCACCAAACUUCAAUCUAUGACAUACUUGCCUCUCUUUAGACCUAGUUAAUAAUGCACAUUUUCCCUGCCCUUGGAUCUUGAUCGUAGCCAUCAUAUGUUGCUCUCGACACCUCCAAACUAUGAAUAACAUGAUCCUACUACUCUCUAUUUUUGGUUCUUAGCUUAGAUGCUAUUUUUAACUCUUCUAUCAACUAAAAUUCUUUUAAAACUGCCACUUAAACACAUUUCGAUCAAGAAAUAAUCAUCAGCCACCAAGAAAAGAAAAUGGAGUUCCAUUGGGUCAAAUUAUAGUAGACGUUCAAGAUUUUGACAGGGAAGUAUAACAAGCUAAAUAUGUGAUCUAUGUAUAGCAUCAUUUAAUAGGUCAAUCAGACUAUUAAUUUAUCAGCAAUGUUAAUAUGAAAAACUGCUUUUUGUAUAUAUUAAGGAUGGAAUGACAAAUCUAUUAGCCCUAAAAUAUAGUGUCAAUGGUGGCCAGUAUGAUACAUUUAUAUACACUAUCAUACAUAUACAAUACAAUACAAAAGAAUACAAUAUAGUAUUGUAUAAUAUGAUAUAAAUAAUGAUGUUAUUUUAUAUUUUUAUUAUUCUAUUAUUAUAUGUUAUCAUUUUAUAUAUCUAUGAUACUCUAAGUGUUAACUUGUCAGCAAUAUUAACAUGUAAAAUGUUUCUUUUGAAAUGAGUUUGAUCUAUUCAUGACACUACAUAGUUAUUUUGUUAUACUAUGCUUUGCCAAUCAUGUCUAUCUACUUCUACUAAGUAGGGAGAACGGAGAAGAUCCUAACUUAUUAAGUUGAUGAAUAUGUUAAAUAUAUUCAUUUGAAGUUUUAAGAAUUUUGACAUGGGACAAACCUAAACAAUGAAUCUCCACAACGAAUGUUGAGAUGGGGAGUUGAAAUACUGGUGUGUUUUUUAUACAAAUGAAACCCAACUUGGUCUAACAGGAUUAAGUUGUUAGGUUUUGAGCCCAGUCAUGUAACUUCCAAAGGAUUUGGUAUACAUCAUGCUCCUAAACCUCCUCCUGGAUCCUGGCCCAAAUGCCAUGCGUCUUCGGUCUUUCUAUAGCUUAUGAUGGAUAUGGCCAGAUUUAACAGCAAUCAUUAAUAGAAGUUAUAGUAGCUGAAAGAUUUUCAGUCAAGGGGCAGCUGAAACAUUAAAUGAAUGUAUUUAUCUUCUUCCCUCUUUCCAUUUAAUAUGACAAAUUCCAAUAGAGGUUAUGUCCCUUUGUUUUUGUUUGCAUCUGCUGUUCAAAUGUAUUUAGUAUCAGAAUGCCAAAGAAGAGAGGUAGGCUAGGUCCAUCCUUACCUGAUGAUUUUAAUUAUAUUUAUAUUAUAUAUAUUUGAGAUUUGGUGUUGGGAGGACUCGAAGGAACUAAACCUGGGUUUUUCCUGAGAUUAGACAUCAGAUCAAAUACUUGAAAUAUAAUACCACUCACGAGAAACCCCUACCACUUAUAAGAAAGGGAAAUUGACCAUUAAGCUACGGCUUGGUUUGCAAUUAGAUAGAAUUUGAAGGGCAUCUUUAAGUUUUUGAAGUUUUGAAUUAAACCUAUCCAAAAUCCAACUUGAUCAAGGCUCAUUAGAUUUGGAGCAAGCAUGGUUUUUUAUAUAAGCUAGCUAGUUGUCUAACUCUCCAUGCAUUCGACCUAGCUUGACUAGACUUGCUUAAAUAGUUUGUUAAGUUAAUUUUAUUUGUAAUAAAAAAUGGUGUUGAGUUAUAUCAUUGCUUGGACAUGAUCUUUAUCAAGUUUAUUUAGGUUAGGAUUAUAGUAAUAGUGGAUCUGGAAACAUGAAAGCUUGAUUUGACCUGUUUACAUCCUUGCUAAUGACAUGUAAGUUGUUUUGAUGAGUUAAUUCGGACAUUCUAUGAUAAUACAUGCAAUAUUAUAUUAUUAAAUUUUAAAUUUUAAUUGAUGUCUAAGGUGAGGAGCUUGAUGCAUCUUGAGAUGAGUUAACUCAUGCAAUUAAUUGUACUAAGCCUCAAUUUGGUAUUCAUACUCAAAAUAAAUACUAAGCACUUCAUUGAAAAGUAGUUAAUUUUGAAUUGACACAAAAGUUUAGCUUGUUCAAUAUAGCUCAAUGGAGCUCAAAAUUGGGUUAUAUCUUGUUAGAUAUCAUAAAUACUAGUUAUUUUUUUUUUGGUUUUUCAUUUUUCAGCUUAUGAUCGUUAGGACCCACUUAAGAACACAUCUUUAAAAGUUUUUAAUGACACAUUUGAGGGUAAUUUGGUAAAUUUAGUAGCAUACAACAAAUAGGGUGAGGAAGAACCAGCAUGCAUUCUUGCUUCUAGAGUAACAAUUGAUUGUUAGUUCUGAUACAUACAGUCAAUACCAAUACUUUAUCAUUCUACCGAAGAAACAAUACAAGAUUCGGUAUUGAUAUUUAGAAGUUAGAACCUUGCAACCAAUGAGACCAUCGACUCAGAAUCAGACCUCGUGUCGGCUGGCUGGUGGUGUGAAUCAGUAUGACCCUAUAUCGGACUGUACCGGACCCGAAUUGAUGCAGAAAUGGGGGAUGAAUCAGGUAAGAAAAGAGAGAGAAAGAGAGGGGGGAAGGAGGGAGAGGGAGGGAAGGAAAGAGAGGCUGACGGAGACAUUGGCAAUGGCCAUUGGAGGGCCACGGAGGCUAUUGGAGGGUUGUCGAGGCCUCUCAGGCUCUGCAGUCCUUCGCUAAAGAAAAUGAGAGAGAGAGAGAUAGACAGAGAGAAGGGUGGGGAGAGGAGAGAGGAGAAGGCGGUUAGGAGGCCGUUGGAGGUCCACCGAGUAGUUGCCAUGGCCAUCGGACGGUCAAGGAGAGAGGAGAAGGCAGUGGGGAGGCCGUCAAAGGUCCAUCGGGUAGUUGGCAUGGCCAUCAGACGGCCCAAAACAAUCCCAUGGCCGUCAUGGGUUUGUCAAGUUUUUUAAAAAAUCCGAUAUAUAAUGAAGCCGAUAUGGGUUUUGGACCAUCUGGUUUCACUGUAUAUUGGGUCUAGAGGUAUUUUGGGCUGCAUAGGUAUUUUGGGCCGUUUGGCAGUCCUCUGAUCGCCUCCCCACUACCUUCCCCUUCCUCUUUCUCUUUAUCUCUCUCUCUCUUCUCACAUCUCAAGAAGGAUCAUAGAGACCUAAAGGCUUGGCGCCUUGGUGGGCCACCACUACCCAUGGCUAGGCUUUCCCUUUCCUUUUCUCUUCUCUUCUCUCUCUCUUCUUCUCUUUCCUUCUCCCUUGCAUUGUUUUUGUCGGCGUUCUGAAUUGAAUGCCCGAACUGCACCAGUUAUGGUUUGGCAGUUUGGGGUGGUUCGACAAACGCUGCUUGCAACAAUUCUAAUAUGAUAUGAAUAUCAAUGUGCCAUUUAGCAUCACUUCAAUUUUUUUUUUUUAAAUUUUUAGAAACCAAAAUAUAAAUUUUAUUUUGUUUAAAAAAAUUAAAAUAUAAAUAUGUUAGGUAUUGACAAUUAUUUUUAAAAAUAUAAACAUAACAGUGAUGGUGGAGAUGGUGAUAGUAGCACUGGGGGCAAUGUAGUUGUAGUAGAGGCAAUAGACACAACAUUGGUGUUGGUGGCAGGAGAGACAAUGGCAUGGUGGAGGUGGUGACAAUGGUUACAUUGGUAUAGCGUAGGUGGCGAUGAUAGUGGUGGUCACAAGGGCACCAAUGUGGAGGUGAUGAUCAUAGUAAUGGUGGUAGUGGCACCAAGGGAGCUGGCAAUGUGGAGGUGAUGAUAAUGGCGGCAAUGGCAUGGCAAAGGAGGCAAUGAUGAAGGUGAUGACCCUUGUGGAAGUGAUGGUGGUAGAGGCGGCAUCGGUGGUAGAGGUGAUGGCCUCGUUGGCAAUGAAAUUGUGGUGGUAGAGGUGGUGAAGGUGUUGGUGGUGGUAAAAAAAACAUAAGUUUCUUAUUAUUGAAAUUGUUGAAAGGAUUUCUUACUUUCAGUCUUUCUAGAAGUAAUAAGAAUGACUUUUAAAAAACAGAACAUAAAAACAAUAGCAUAAGCAUGUUUUCUGUCUCUAUUUGUGUAAUGUUCGUUUUAAAAUGUAAAAACAAGAAAUAAAAGCAAUGCCAAACUACCCCUAUGUGCUAAAUCUAGAUGCUCAAUGAAACAGAAAGCAAAUAUUGUUCAACUGCAACUGAAAAAUUAAUCACUUGAGCUUGACAUGAUCAUAUUUUCAUGUUCUUCUAGUUCAUAUCAUGAUUUAGAAGCUUGACUUGGUCAUAGGAGUCUUCUAAGCUGGAUAAUGAGAAUAAGUGAACUGCAGCUUGACUUGGUCACAGGACUCUUCUAAGCUUGAUAACGAGAAUAUGCAACUGCAAAAGUCUUCUGAGAGUCUUCAAAGAUUUUAUGCUCCAACCCUUGUCUACUUGUCUUUCAUUCUGUACUAUUAAGUCCACUCUAUUUUUGUAUGAGUGGUGUGGUGGUCAAUCUGAGGCAUAUAAUACACCUGGUUAUAGGCCUUAAGUGUAUAAAGAGGGGCAAUCCUUGGGGAACUCCUGUAAUGACUAGGAGAGGGAUAGGGGAGCAUACAUCAACUUAGGUCUCCUUCUUGCAAGCACCACCAACUAAGGUGCUUAACAUACCUCCUACUAUGAUAUUAUAGCUAGACUCCUAUGGGAAGAGUUCAUGUACAUAAGUUUAUGCUAUAACUUUGUUCAUAUGUUAUUCCAUACCAGGGAUCAUUCUUUAGGGUGAAUCAAACAAUGUGUAUCAUGGCCAUUAGCAUGUGGAAAAUGAUUAGAUGACUAAGGAUGGGUCCUUCAAAUAAAACCAUGAGAAAAUUUGUCAAACCUUUCAAAAGCAUCAGCUCCAAAUCAUUCCUGUUAAAAUCACCAUACCAAAUUAGAUAUAUGCCAAUUAGUUUCCAUUUAUGGGCAAUCCACCAAGAUCUGAAAUCUGAUCUAGCCAUGAAUUCUUCAUCUUUCUAUGGUACACUUGAUUAUUUUAGUUUAUGCAGGAGUUGUUUGGAUGAUCUGUUUUUAGUCGUGUCCUUUGUCCAAGGACCACUUCUAAUAUUUGAAUGUAGAUUCAAUAGUUUGAAUCAAUAGUUUUGUUUCAUGGAUGUUUGAUAUUCUUCUCCAUUAUAAUUCUAGGUACUAUGAACCUUGUUGCUGCUUUUUGUCUUGAGCAAGCCAAAGUGAAAAAUUAAAUUUUGUAGUUUUUUAAUUUUCAGAUUUGCUUUAAACACCACAUGCCAUAUUAUGGCCCCUAGCUGAUCUAAAUUGCAUGCUCUCAUUGUGUAGUCUUGUUAGUGCACAUUUUAGUGGUAAAUUUGUAAUUGGUUGUUCAUGUCCUGUUUAUUAAGAAGCUAUAGUUGUUUAUCACUUUAUUGGGUCCAAAGCCAUAUGAAUUGGUUAAAUUGUAAUCUUUUAUUUUACAUUCUCCAGUUUCCUUGUUGCUCACUUUUAUUUUAAAAUAUCCAUCAUGUUUCUCUCUUACCGGUUUGAGAAUUUAAUGGAUGCGGAUGUAAAUUGAUGUUUGUAUUAUAAAAUUUUACAAUUCCACAUAAUUGUACCCAUCAUUUUCUUCAAUUUUUCUUUAUAUCUAAAACUCUUGAUACUCAGUUUUGAUUUCUUAUAUCAGGAAUAUAUCCAAGAUGGCAUUGACUGGGCAAAAGUUGACUUUGAAGACAAUCAGGAUUGUCUAAAUCUUUUUGAGAAAGUAAGUUUUUUCUAUUGUUUACUAUAUUGCAUUUAUGAUCAAUUUUCUAUACUUUGUAUUUCAAAUGCCAGUUGUUAAAAUAAUGAUAUUUAAAGUGGAUGAUUUAUCUUCCACCUCGAAAUCUAUUCUAGUUCUUGUAUUGGCAUUGAGAAAUCAUAUAUCAGUCAUUGCUUGGUAUUACCAUAUAUUUGUCUUGUUGUGUCUGAUUGAUCUUUUAUUAACAGUGAUGGUUGUGCUUGACUUUGAUACAUACCAAGUUUUGUAUGACAAUAUAUGUUGACUUCAUUUCCGAGUAAUUUCAGUAACUUGUACACAUACACAAUCAUAUCAAAUGAGCCCAGUGUCAUGUAUUUGGAGUCAUCUUUCUUCAUUUGUGUUAUUCGGAUCAUUCCAAUUCAAAAGAUGGCAUACUGUUACGGAUAGCUUUAUCAAAUCAUAUUUUCAUAAUCAUGACACAGUCUACAGGUUUUAUGGAAGUAUCUGAGGGCAUGACUCACUCCAUAGAUCCAGAUCAUCCAGUAGGCAACCUUGUUCUCUUUAUCUGAUACUGGUUCUUGUUGAAUAUUCAGAAGAGACCUGGUGCACAUAUGGCACGUGCAUAUGCAUUUCAUUGAUGUAUGUGUACAUCUAGGUUUGCUAAGCAGUGUUGUGUGGUUGGGGGGGGGGGUUGUGGUGUUUGAAGCACGCCAAUGCAAUCAGAGGUCCUGAAGGGGUUAUGGAUCAUCUUUGUUCCACUUGAACUUGAUGGCUACUUGAUCAUUGAUGGCUUUAUGGCAUUGGAUGUGCAUCAAGACAAGGUGUUAUCAUUGUGGAUAGGUUGCACAUGGUACAUGCAUUAAUGUACAUAAAAAAAUCUAAUAUAGGCAUCUAUCACGAUGCUCAUGUAUGACCAAAAAUAGCUCCACCUUGGAGAAUGAAGAAGUGUGUCGUCCAGGUCAUGUGUGUAUGGUCAAUGUUGUGUUGCCUCCAUUAACUAUUGGAGCGUGCCAUACAACAAAGAUAUUUUACUCGAACCUAAACUGUGGUUCUGCUUUUACAAUUCUGCUAUUAUGAUAGUAUGCAAGUAAAAAAUUCUAUUAUAUAAUUAUUUUAGAGUAUUGAUCAUGAUAUAUUAUUAAUAUAUAUUUGCUGUCUGUCUUCUCUCUACUGCAGAAGCCGUUAGGAUUACUGUCUCUUCUGGAUGAGGAGUCUACUUUUCCAAAUGGCACUGACCUAACUUUUGCAAACAAGCUUAAGCAGCAUCUUAAUUCUAAUCCUUGCUUUAGGGGGGAAAGAGGCAAAGCUUUCACUGUUCAUCAUUAUGCAGGGGAGGUUGCUAGUGAUAUCCUUCCUAAAUCUGCAAAAUAAUUUUUUUUUGAAAUUUUAAUUCAAAGUUAUUGAUACUUAACUCCUGUAAUCAGGUUGUCUAUGACACAUCGGGGUUUUUGGAGAAGAAUAGGGAUUUAUUGCACAUGGAUUCUAUUCAACUUCUUGCUUCUUGUAAAAGCCAACUUCCUCCAAUAUUUGCAUCCAAAAUGCUUGCUCAAUCCGCAGAUGUUGCCAGCAACCCAUAUAGACCCAGUGCUGCAGAUUCUCAAAGGCUAAGUGUUGCAACAAAGUUUAAGGUAAGGAGUUUACUUUUGUAUAUAGACUCUGUAGUAGAAAUUAUACAGGAUUUGCUGUCUUUUCUAGUUUGCCUUUUUCUUUGAAUAAAAAAAUAAAGGCUAGCUGCUGGAGAGGUGUUUGACAAACUGGAGGAGUCAUAACUCAUAAGUGUUGCAUUCUCUGCUUGUUUAUUCUUGAAUAAUGCCAAAAAUGAGUUGCAGUGUGAUUGAAUGUUUUUUUUGAGUUUGAUAUAUUACUUUUCUUUUUUGCUUAGUAGAUUAAAUACUAAAUUGGAAUUAUGAAGGAAAAUUUUAGAGGAUAAGGGCUUAAAAAUUAGUAGAACGAAGAUAGAAUAUAUGGAAUACAAAUUUAAUGAGAAGAUGUAAUAUCCAUUAAGAUUGAUGGACAAGAGGUAGCAUAGAGUGACUGAUUAGGAUCUGUUAAACAAAGUAAUUAGGAGAUAGAUGAGGAUAUAUAUAAAUAUAUGAUAUAAUAUAAUGUAAUGGAAUUAGAGCCGGUUGGAUAAGGCCUGCAAUGUUGUAUGUAUCAGUGCUGGAAAUAAAGAAAGUAUAUGAAAGCAAAUUAAGGGCUGUAGAAGUGAGAAUAUUAAGAUUGAGAAAUGAAUAUAUUAGAGGAUCUAUGGGAAUUGCGCAAAUUAAGGACAAACUGAUCAGAAAUCAAUUGAAAUGGUAUAGAUAUAUACAACAAAAGUCUAAGGAGGCUCUUAUAUUGAGAGGUACUUUUAGUUUGGUUGAAAGUUGUAGGAAAGGAAGAGGAUGGCCUAAAUUAACAUGGACGGAGGUUGGGAGGAAGGAUAUAAGGAAACUUGAUAGAACAUCAUAAGUGGCCCUUUAUAAAGAUACUUGAUGAAUGAGAUUCCAUAAAACUGAUUCAGGUAGUUGGGAAAAGGCUAGAUGAUUGUGAUUAUGAUUUCUAAUGUUUGCAUAUCAGGUUUCUAAUCCUAAGGUAAAAUUUUUAUCAUUUUAUCUCAUUGGCAAUUGCCUUUUGCAACUUUUGAAAUCUAUACUUAAUUCAAGAUCCCAACCAUGGCACUAGGGUUUUAGCAACCAUGGUCAACUGAAAUCUUGUAGAGAAAUCAUGUGCUAUUGUAUUGCUACUGCCUGAAAGAUAGCAACUGUCUUCUACUUGGAGUGCUUCAUUAGGUUUUUUAUUUUAUUUUAUUUUUAUUUUAUUUUUAUUUUUUUUUGUUGUGUGCGUGUGUGUGUGUGGAAAGAUUCUAAUGUAAUUUGCAGUUGUUGGUUCCUUUGUAUUUAUAUUUUGAUUCAGUUUUGUGAUAGACACUCUACUACUCAAGUCAAUGGUAGUCGUACAUCUUAACUUGAUGCUCAAAACAACUUUAUCUGCAUAGCUGGAAAAACAGCAAUGUUGUGACAUCUUGUCAAGUUGUUACUUUUGAUUACUUUAUUCAUUCAGUGCAAUGGGUCUAAUAAACAGGUGAAGCUUAUACUUUUUGCAGAGCAGAGGAACCAAUUGAUAGAUUACUCAACUAGGCUUGCUUCUCCCUCUUUUGAUUGAAGUAUUUAGUAAUUUAGGGUACCUUGUAUCUUCUUAUGGCCCUGUUCGGUUCAACAAUAUGUCAGGUUAAGUGGGAAAGACCCUGAUCGAAUCAAAAUCCCCUUAAGUAGAAGCACGAAUUCCUUUCAUUAUUGGGUAUUCUUUUGAUUUUUUGAUUUUUUUUUCUUUUUGUAGUUCAGUAAAGAGUAGCUUAUAUAAUUUUACAGGAGUUCCUUGAAAGGCUCAAUGUUGAUUUCAAGGAGCUAAACUUUUGGUGGUUUUGAAAUCCUAUGUUAUUUAGGUCAAUAUCCAAGAGACAUAUCAUAGGUAUCAGUUGGGUUUACAUUGUUUAUGGUCAUCAUCAUCAAGUAUUUUGAAAUUUCUGAGUCUUUAAAAAUGGAGUUCCAGAAAUUCAUAUUUUGUAAGUUCUUUCAUUUUUUGUUUAUUAUUUUUUUGCAUCUUAUGUCUUCUAGGGAUAUCAUCAUAGAAGCCAUUUCUUCCUCGGAAAGGAGGGUUCCUUUAUAUGUAAUUUUUAUCCCUUAGGCUAUAUACCGGACCAUUUAUGGCUCAUGUAAGGCCUACUUCCUUAUAACUAGUCCAAUGUAUGCAGUGAGGUGAAAAUUUACUUUAGAUCAUUAAUUGACAACUUGUAAACCCAGGUUUUGUCAUAAGAUAUACUAUCCAAAACUCUCUUACCUAUGUCAGAAUGGAGUUCGUAAACUUGCCUGCUCUUAUUCAUUUUUUUUCCUUUGUUUAGGGGCAACUAUUUCAACUGAUGCAAAGACUUGAAAACACAACACCCCAUUUUAUACGUUGCAUUAAGCCAAAUAACUUGCAGCUGCCUGCAACUUAUG